CUAUCUCUCGCUCUCUUCUCUCUCUUGUGCAUAAUUUUUUAAAACCUUAAUACUGUUUAAUCCCCACCUUUCUUUAGCUAUAUAAUGCCUAAGUUUCACCUAAAAAAAUAUGAACUGCUUUGUUGGGAGGUUGUUUUACCCUAAUCUCUUCACUUUUUUCAUGUGGAGGAACAUUAGACUGUAUGUUUCUUUAUGUACAUGGUAUGCAUCUUUAUUGGACAUUGAUAUUACUGUUAAAUUUUGUAUUUUGAGAUUUUGAUUUAGGGUUUUGUUUGGAUGGGCAAGUGAAGAACAAAUGGCGUUUCUUGGGCGUUGGUAGCAACAAGUUCCCAGGCAUGUGAAGUGGAAGUUGCAAUUACCCAAAUGCCCCUUCAUCUUCCAAGCCAACUGUAUUUUUUCCACCAUUAUGUAUUUUUUAAUCUAAUUUGAUUAUGUGUACGAGUUUCUAUGUACAAUUUAACCCCAUUAACUUAGACUAGCUAGGGUUUCUCUCAACAAUCUUGGUUCAAACAUGUAGUUUGUAUGAUAUGUAGUGUAUAGCUAAUAUGUUUCUUGUUUUAAUUGUAUUUUUGUUUA